rnacentral:rRNA from 1 species
GAUGAACGCUGACAGAAUGCUUAACACAUCAGCAAUUGAUUGGUGGCGGACGGGUGAGUAACGCGUAAAGAACUUGCCUUACAGGUAGGGACAACAUUUGGAAACGAAUGCUAAUACCCAAUUCUGUGGGAUAGCUUUGCGGCCCAUUAGCUAGUUGGAGAGGUAACGGCUCACCAAGGCGAUGAUGGGUAGCCGGACUGAGAGGGUGAUCGGCCACAAGGGGACUGGGGCACGGCCCUUAGUGAUACGGGAGGCAGCGGUGGGGAAUAUUGGACAAUAGACCAAAGUCUGAUCCAGCAAUUCUGUGUGCACGAUGAAGUUUUCGGAAUGUAAAGUGCUUUCAGUUGGGGAGCGGUACCAACAGAAGAAGUGACGGCUAAAUACGUGCCAGCAGCCGCGGUAAUUC